rnacentral:rRNA from 1 species
UACGUAGGCAGCAAGCGUUGUUCGGAGUUACUGGGCGUAAAGGGCGCGUAGGCGGCGGGUCAAGUCGAGUGUGAAAGCCCCGGGCUCAACCUGGGAAUUGCGCUCGAGACUGGUCUGCUUGAGUUCGGGAGAGGAGCGUGGAAUUCCCAGUGUAGAGGUGAAAUUCGUAGAUAUUGGGAAGAACACCGGUGGCGAAGGCGGCUCACUGGCUCAUUACUGACGCUCAGGCGCGAUAGCGUGGGGAUCAAACAGG